rnacentral:rRNA from 1 species
GGCUCUAUCAUGCAAGUCGAGCGAAUGGAUUGAGAGCUUGCUCUCAAGAAGUUAGCGGCGGACGGGUGAGUAACACGUGGGUAACCUGCCCAUAAGACUGGGAUAACUCCGGGAAACCGGGGCUAAUACCGGAUAACAUUUUGAACCGCAUGGUUCGAAAUUGAAAGGCGGCUUCGGCUGUCACUUAUGGAUGGACCCGCGUCGCAUUAGCUAGUUGGUGAGGUAACGGCUCACCAAGGCAACGAUGCGUAGCCGACCUGAGAGGGUGAUCGGCCACACUGGGACUGAGACACGGCCCAGACUCCUACGGAGGCAGCAGUAGGGAAUCUUCCGCAAUGGACGAAAGUCUGACGGAGCAACGCCGCGUGAGUGAUGAAGGCUUUCGGGUCGUAAAACUCUGUUGUUAGGGAAGAACAAGUGCUAGUUGAAUAAGCUGGCACCUUGACGGUACCUAACCAGAAAGCCACGGCUAACUACGUGCCAGCAGCCGCGGUAAUACGUAGGUGGCAAGCGUUAUCCGGAAUUAUUGGGCGUAAAGCGCGCGCAGGUGGUUUCUUAAGUCUGAUGUGAAAGCCCACGGCUCAACCGUGGAGGGUCAUUGGAAACUGGGAGACUUGAGUGCAGAAGAGGAAAGUGGAAUUCCAUGUGUAGCGGUGAAAUGCGUAGAGAUAUGGAGGAACACCAGUGGCGAAGGCGACUUUCUGGUCUGUAACUGACACUGAGGCGCGAAAGCGUGGGGAGCAAACAGAUUAGAUACCCUGGUAGUCCACGCCGUAAACGAUGAGUGCUAAGUGUUAGAGGGUUUCCGCCCUUUAGUGCUGAAGUUAACGCAUUAAGCACUCCGCCUGGGGAGUACGGCCGCAAGGCUGAAACUCAAAGGAAUUGACGGGGGCCCGCACAAGCGGUGGAGCAUGUGGUUUAAUUCGAAGCAACGCGAAGAACCUUACCAGGUCUUGACAUCCUCUGAAAACCCUAGAGAUAGGGCUUCUCCUUCGGGAGCAAAGUGACAGGUGGUGCAUGGUUGUCGUCAGCUCGUGUCU